rnacentral:tRNA from 1 species
GCCUCCUGGGCGCAGUCGGCAGCGCGUCAGUCUCAUAAUUUGAAGGUCAUGAGUUCGAGCCUCACAGGAGGCA